GCCCGGGUGGCGGAAUUGGUAGACGCGCCAGACUAAGGAUCUGGUGGGAUAAUACCCAUGCUGGUUCAAUUCCAGUCCCGGGCACCA
rnacentral:tRNA from 1 species